AGCGAACGCUGGCGGCAGGCUUAACACAUGCAAGUCGAACGCUCGUAGCAAUACGAGAGUGGCAGACGGGUGAGUAACACGUGGGAACGUACCUUUCGGUUCGGAAUAACCCGGGGAAACUCGGGCUAAUACCGGAUACGUCCGCAAGGAGAAAGAUUUAUCGCCGAAAGAUCGGCCCGCGUCGGAUUAGCUAGUUGGUGAGGUAAUGGCUCACCAAGGCAAUGAUCCGUAGCUGGUCUGAGAGGACGAUCAGCCACACUGGGACUGAGACACGGCCCAGACUCCUACGGGAGGCAGCAGUGGGGAAUAUUGGACAAUGGGCGAAAGCCUGAUCCAGCCAUGCCGCGUGAGUGAUGAAGGCCUUAGGGUUGUAAAGCUCUUUUACCAGGGAAGAUAAUGACUGUACCUGGAGAAUAAGCCCCGGCUAACUUCGUGCCAGCAGCCGCGGUAAUACGAAGGGGGCUAGCGUUGCUCGGAAUCACUGGGCGUAAAGCGCACGUAGGUGGGUCGCUUAGUCGGGGGUGAAAUCCUGGAGCUCAACUCCAGAACUGCCUUCGAUACUGGCGAUCUUCGAGUCCGGGAGAGGUGGGUGGAACUGCGAGUGUAGAGGUGAAAUUCGUAGAUAUUCGCAAGAACACCAGUGGCGAAGGCGGCUCACUGGGCCGGUACUGACACUGAGGUGCGAAAGCGUGGGGAGCAAAACAGAUUAGAUACCCUGGUAGUCCACGCCCGUAACGAUGGAUGCUAGCCGUUGGACAGCUUGCUGUUCAGUGGCGCAGCUAACGCAUUUAGCAUCCCGCCUGGGGAGUACGGGUGGCAGGAUUAAAACUCAAAGGAAUUGACGGGGGCCCGGCACAAGCGGUGGAGCAUGUGGUUCAAUUCGAGGCAACGCGAAGAACCUUACCAGCUUUUGACAUGUCCGGUUUGGGCUCCAGAGAGGGGGUCCUUCAGUUCGGCUGGCCGGAACACAGGUGCGGCAGGGCUGUCGUCAGCUCGUGUCGUGAGAUGUUGGGUUAAGUCCGGCAACGAGCGCAACCCUCGUCCCUAGUUGCCAUCAUUCAGUGGGGCACUCUAGGGAGACUGCCGGUGAUAAGCCGCGAGGAGGGUGGGGAUGACGUCAAGUCCUCAUGGCCCUUACAGGCUGGGCUACACACGUGCUACAAUGGCGGUGACAGUGGGAAGCGAACCCGCAAGGGGGAGCCAAUCUCAAAAAACCGUCUCAGUUCGGAUUGCACUCUGCAACUCGAGUGCAUGAAGUUGGAAUCGCUAGUAAUCGUGGAUCAGCAUGCCACGGUGAAUACGUUCCCGGGCCUUGUACACACCGCCCGUCACACCAUGGGAGUUGGUUUUACCUUAAGACGGUUUGCUAACCGCAAGGAGGCAGCCGGCCACGGUAAGGUCAGCGACUGGGGUGAAGUCGUAACAAGGUAACC
rnacentral:rRNA from 1 species